GCGUAUUUUCGAAAUCUCGACGUAAGGAAGCAAAUUUGAAACCAGUAAAUUAGGACGUAUCGAAUGAAUAAUCUGUUUUGAUGUAAUUAUAAACUUUUAGGCCCACCGCCAACAUCAACGAUAUUGGAGGUGGAGAAGGCGGUGGAGAGGGCAGGCCGUCGAGAGAAUUAAACCAGAACAAAAACCAGCAAUCCUUGUCACAUUAGCAAGGCGGUGGAGAAGGCAGGCCGUCGAGAGAAUAAACACGAGGGGUGUUGGAGUAUGAUGACUCAAGUGUAGCGAGGCCACGCAAUCAGUACUUGGUUCGCUUCCCUGGGAAACCAAGCCAACGAAGAUAAGAACAGGAAGCUUUAUAAUUCACCCAGUUGGAACAAUGUCAAUGCCCACAAGCGGAGCCAAUAGAUUUGUACCUUAUCCCUUUUAAAAAAAAAAUUUGACCCCUUUAUCCCUUCCAAUUUUCCAAUCCUGCCCUCCCCUUUCUCACGCUAUCAGUCUCGCCACUUUUCUCAGAACCCAGUCCACACCAGAUCUGAAAGAAGCCAUCCUUCCUUCCAGCGAUCUCUCUUGUUCUCCAGGUCGCGUUCUCUCGGCUCGACGUCCUUCCUCUGGUAAGCUUCUCUUGUCUAAAAUUUCAUUAUUUAUUUGUUUGGGUUUUUAAAUUUGGGGAGGGGAGAAUCUGAGUGAAAGAGGGGUGGGAAGAGCAAAGGGAUGAGGUUUGCAGUGAGUGCAAAAGCUGAGGCUCACAGGUGGGCCUACUGGGUGCCUCGCCGAGGAACCGGAGGUCGCGGAGGUGGUCGGAGAAUGAGACUUGAGAAGAGAAAGUCUUGGGCUUGGUGGAGGAGGUUGUGAAGCCAAGAAAAAGGCGGUCCAAGAAGGAAAAGCUGGACUUGGUUCUCAGUUUGCCAUCCCCAAGUACAUUAUCAAUCAAUGAUGAGUAUCAGGGUAAUCUUGAUCGAAUCGGGCAGCUCAUGACUGAUCUGAUUAUGUGGAGAGAUGUUGAAAGGUCGAGCAUUUGGUUUGGUUUAGGGUCGCUCUUCUUCCUUUCCUCUUGCUUUGCCAAAGGAAUCAACUUUAGGUGACUACUAGUCUACUGCUACUCUCAUUCACUUUUCCCACAUUUUCCCUAUUUUAAUUUUAGCUUAUAAAAAAACAUCUGAUCUUAACCAAUUCAAUCAUUUCAUCAUUUUCUCAAGAUUUCCCAAAUCGGACUUUUGAUUUUGGGUGCUUCAUUUGUCUCCAAUUCAAUCUAUCAAAGGUCCUUGUUGUUUCCCUUUCGGCCACUAUUUUCUUUGUUUCAGGGGGGCUUCAUUUGUAUCCAAUGCUCAUUCUUUUAUUUCAGCUUAAUUCAGGAGAGCCAUCCAUGACCCUCAAGGUAGCUCCGUUCUUUCUUAUGGGAGUAGAGUGUGGGCAUCUUAUAACAUUUUGGAGGCUAUGUAUGCUUGGUAUGCCCAACUUCUAAUCAGCCGACUCUGUUGUUGAUUAUUUUCCGUUGCUUUACUUGUUUCGUGUUAUAAUGAUGAUCAUGGUGCUAACUCUUUGACCCCAUUGUCUUAAAUUUCUAGCUCUAUACACAGUUAAAUGCAGAAACUCUCUCGUUUCUCUCUCAUCUCUCUUUCUGAUAUUUCAUUUCUUCUUGCUAUUUUGUUAAGAGCUCCAACUAGUACGAGCGCAAGCUCAUAGUCUAGCUCUUUGACUUGU